rnacentral:rRNA from 1 species
AUACGUAGGUGGCAAGCGUUGUCCGGAUUUAUUGGGCGUAAAGCGAGCGCAGGCGGUUUCUUAAGUCUGAUGUGAAAGCCCCCGGCUCAACCGGGGAGGGGCAUUGGAAACUGGGAGACUUGAGUGCAGAAGAGGAGAGUGGAAUUCCCUGUGUAGCGGUGAAAUGCGUAGAUAUAUGGAGGAACACCAGUGGCGAAGGCGACUCUCUGGUCUGUAACUGACGCUGAGGCUCGAAAGCGUGGGGAGCAAACAGGAUUAGAUACCCUGGUAGUCCACGCCGUAAACGAUGAGUGCUAAGUGUUGGAGGGUUUCCGCCCUUCAGUGCUGCAGCUAACGCAUUAAGCACUCCGCCUGGGGAGUACGACCGCAAGGUUGAAACUCAAAUGAAUUGACGGGG